UACGGGGGGAGCAAGCGUUGUUCGGAUUUACUGGGCGUAAAGGGCGCGUAGGCGGCCACCGCAAGUCGACUGUGAAAUCUCCGGGCUUAACUCGGAAAGGUCAGCCGAUACUGCGGGGCUAGAGUGCAGAAGGGGCAACUGGAAUUCUCGGUGUAGCGGUGAAAUGCGUAGAUAUCGAGAGGAACACCUACGGCGAAGGCGGGUUGCUGGGCUGACACUGACGUGAGGCGCGAAAGCUAGGGGGAGCGAACGGGG
rnacentral:rRNA from 1 species